AUUGAACGCUGGCGGCAUGCUUUACACAUGCAAGUCGAACGGUAACAGGCCGCAAGGUGCUGACGAGUGGCGAACGGGUGAGUAAUGCAUCGGAACGUGCCCAGUCGUGGGGGAUAACGCAGCGAAAGCUGCGCUAAUACCGCAUACGAUCUAUGGAUGAAAGCGGGGGACCGUAAGGCCUCGCGCGAUUGGAGCGGCCGAUGUCAGAUUAGGUAGUUGGUGGGGUAAAGGCUCACCAAGCCAACGAUCUGUAGCUGGUCUGAGAGGACGACCAGCCACACUGGGACUGAGACACGGCCCAGACUCCUACGGGAGGCAGCAGUGGGGAAUUUUGGACAAUGGGCGCAAGCCUGACUCAGCAAUGCCGCGUGCAGGAAGAAGGCCUUCGGGUUGUAAACUGCUUUUGUACGGAACGAAAAGGCUCUGGAUAAUACCUGGGGCUCAUGACGGUACCGUAAGAAUAAGCACCAGCUAACUACGUGCCAGCCGCCGCCGUAAAAC
rnacentral:rRNA from 1 species